CAACAUUUAUAUUUCAAAGCGAAACGUUUCUUCCAUGGAGGAGAAAAGAUAUUAUGGCUAAUCGAGAAAGAAAUUCCACAAGGAGGAGACGGGUCCGUCCUCAACAGGAAGCUGAAUACCAUGUGCGAUUGAAGGCUGACAAGUUUGGACUUCGAGGGGAAUUUAUUAAUCCCUUCAAAGAUGUAGUAGAUCACUCAAGUGAAGUGUCAAGUGAUGAGGACUGCACUGAUGUACCAGACAUGGAGACAACUUUGACUUUAGCACCAGCACCAUAAGCACCUGCUCCCAUUUCUCUCAAAC